CCACUACGGUGGUGAAGUUGCAGGCAGUGGUCCCAGGAAAAGCCUCUAAGCUUCAGUUUGAGUAUGACCGUACCGCAAACCGACACAGGUGGGUGGGAUGAAUAUUCUAAGGCGCUUGAGAGAACUCAGGAGAAGGAACUCGGCAAAUUGAUACCGUAACUUCGGGAGAAGGUAUGCCCUGUUAGCGUGUUAAAGCGCGAGAGGGCCGCAGAUAAUCGGUGGCUGCGACUGUUUAUUAAAAACAUAGCACUCUGCAAACACGAAAGUGGACGUAUAGGGUGUGACGCCUGCCCGGUGCCGGAAGGUUAAGUGAUGGGGUGCAAGCUCUUGAUCGAAGCCCCGGUAAACGGCGGCCGUAACUAUAACGGUCCUAAGGUAGCGAAAUUCCUUGUCGGGUAAGUUCCGACCUGCACGAAUGGCGUAACGAUGGCCACACUGUCUCCUCCUGAGACUCAGCGAAGUUGACAUGGUUGUGAUGAUGCAAUCUCCCCGCGGUUAGACGGAAAGACCCCAUGAACCUUUACUGUAGCUUCACAUUGGAUUGUGAACCGGCUUGUGUAGGAUAGGUGGGAGGCACAGAAGAGAUGACGCUAGUUGUCUUGGAGCCGCCCUUGAAAUACCACCCUAGUCGUUUUGCGGUUCUAACCUAGGCUCCUGAAUCGGGGCUGGGGACAGUGUGUGGUGGGCAGUUUGACUGGGGCGGUCUCCUCCUAAAGUGUAACGGAGGAGUUCGAAGGUACGCUAGGCACGGUCGGAAAUCGUGCUCAUUGUGCAAUGGCAAAAGCGUGCUUGACUGUGAGACAGACAAGUCGAACAGGUGCGAAAGCAGGACAUAGUGAUCCGGUGGUUCUGAAUGGAAGGGCCAUCGCUCAACGGAUAAAAGGUACUCUGGGGAUAACAGGCUGAUACCGCCCAAGAGUUCAUAUCGACGGCGGUGUUUGGCACCUCGAUGUCGGCUCAUCUCAUCCUGGGGCUGUAGCCGGUCCCAAGGGUAUGGCUGUUCGCCAUUUAAAGAGGUACGUGAGCUGGGUUUAAAACGUCGUGAGACAGUUUGGUCCCUAUCUGCCGUGGGCGUUGGAUACUUGACGGAGGCUGCUCCUAGUACGAGAGGACCGGAGUGGACGUACCGCUGGUGUAUGGGUUGUCAUGCCAAUGGCAUUGCCCAGUAGCUAUGUACGGAAGAGAUAACCGCUGAAGGCAUCUAAGCGGGAAACUCGUCUGAAGAUAAGGUAUCCCGGGGGUACAACCCCCCUAAAGGGUCGUUCAAGACCAGGACGUUGAUAGGUCGGGUGUAUAAGCACAGCAAUGUGUGGAGCUAACCGAUACUAAUUGCCCGUGAGGCUUGAUC
rnacentral:rRNA from 1 species